rnacentral:rRNA from 1 species
GACGAACGCUGGCGGCGUGCCUAAUACAUGCAAGUUGAGCGCUGAAGGUUGGUACUUGUACCAACUGGAUGAGCAGCGAACGGGUGAGUAACGCGUGGGGAAUCUGCCUUUGAGCGGGGGACAACAUUUGGAAACGAAUGCUAAUACCGCAUAAAAACUUUAAACACAAGUUUUAAGUUUGAAAGAUGCAAUUGCAUCACUCAAAGAUGAUCCCGCGUUGUAUUAGCUAGUUGGUGAGGUAAAGGCUCACCAAGGCGAUGAUACAUAGCCGACCUGAGAGGGUGAUCGGCCACAUUGGGACGGUGACACGGCCCAAACUCCUACGGGAGGCAGCAGUAGGGAAUCUUCGGCAAUGGACGAAAGUCUGACCGAGCAACGCCGCGUGAGUGAAGAAGGUUUUCGGAUCGUAAAACUCUGUUGGUAGAGAAGAACGUUGGUGAGAGUGGAAAGCUCAUCAAGUGACGGUAACUACCCAGAAAGGGACGGCUAACUACGUG